rnacentral:rRNA from 1 species
GAGUUUGAUCCUGGCUCAGAUUGAACGCUGGCGGCAUGCCUUACACACGCAAGUCGAACGGCAGCAUGAUCUAGCUUGCUAAAUUGAUGGCGAGUGGCGAACGGGUGAGUAAUACAUCGGGAACGUGCCCUGUAGUGGGGGAUAACUAGUCGAAAGAUUAGCUAAUACCGCAUACGACCUGAGGGUGAAAGUGGGGGACCGCAAGGCCUCAUGCUAUAGGAGCGGCCGAUGUCUGAUUAGCUAGUUGGUGGGGUAAAGGCCCACCAAGGCGACGAUCAGUAGCUGGUCUGAGAGGACGAUCAGCCACACUGGGACUGAGACACGGCCCAGACUCCUACGGGAGGCAGCAGUGGGGAAUUUUGGACAAUGGGCGAAAGCCUGAUCCAGCAAUGCCGCGUGUGUGAGAAGGCCUCGG